CUAUUGUUUUGCAAUAAAUUGAGUUGGACAAAAACACUUAUUUGUCAGGAACAAAAAUCGUGUUACACAGUGUUAUUGCAUUGAUGGUA